AACAAACUUGUUUCACCCACACACAAUUUUUAUUGACAAGUAUUUAAAAUAUCCCCAACAUUCCAGUUACUUCAACUUUUACAUCCCUUUGACUGAAAAACAUUCUAUACAUUUAAAAAAAAAAAAUCUUAUUUUAGAUCAUGUCUGUCCUGUUACUGUGAGUACCCUUCUCAUGUCUUUAACCUCUCUCAAAGAAAUUCCGGUGAAAGCCCUGUUUUGGCGGUUGACCCAAGAUGUGCUAAUUGGCUGAGAACGCUGUGGUUCAUUUUUAAGUGUCUGACUAUACUUGAGUUUUUAAAAGUCUUAAGGAAGCUCUCUGCCAGAACAGCUAGUGCAGAUAAUUUGCCCCGCACAACACGUCUUCAGGUAUGACAACAGAUUUGGUAUUUUGGGAAGCACAAGUUCAUUCCGACCCCUUCAAACUGGGUAAAAACUGCACAGCCGUGUAAGAUGAAGACAGGGCUGGGACGGUAUGUCAUCAUACCAUUUCAGAGCCAGUGCAAGUAAUUUCUCAUCACGUAUUCUCUACAUGUGGCAACGGAAUAGUUAUUUCUCUUAUUUGAUGCUACCAGAGUAAAAGUGGACUAUGCUGGAAGCAUUUGGUGUUUUUAUAUACAUAAACCUCAAGUAAAAAGGGUAAUGAAUGAUCCAUCUAACAUGUUCCCAGGCCCUUAACGUCGGCUACUUGUGGGGAUGAAGACAGGAGGAUCCAGGGCUUCCUACCUGGGAACAGCAGCAGAAGUUGUCAAGAGACGUAUUUGAAGGCAUUCACCAUGAUCUCCCUCGGGCACGAGGCCCCAGAAGUUGAAGGCAUGUCCUCCAGAGUUCCAUAGGUGCCGUUUGGCAUGGCAAUCUGAAGAGGACCUGGAAAGUCAGGAGGCUACAGGGGUAGCCGAACGCUGGCAGACUGACCCCAUGUCCCUGCAGGUGACAGGGUGGAGGAGGAAGAUGAAUCAUUUGAAUUCUGCUGCCGUGGACUGACUUAUCUCUGACUUAUCUCUGAAACAACUGACGCAUCCUCCGAGGGAUGCAGCCUGCAGCCCCCGCUCCAGGACCGCUGCCCAGCGCGAGGCCGUUACUGCCUCCACCUCCUGUGAGCAUCGGCUCCGUCAGCACCCCGAGCUCAUUAUUGGUGAGAUGAUUGAGGAUGCAUUAAUGCCUAAAGCCUUUGCUUAUGCAGCUCCUCACAUUCAAAAUUAUUUUUAGUCCCUCGUGGUAGCUUCUGGGCAGACCUACGCGACUAAUCACAAACACAGAACUGCAAAACUUACUGUUCCACUUGUGCUCCUUUGUUGUUUCCCUUCUGCUUGGCUCUGUGUAAACAGCACGUGCUGAUGGACAUACGGCUCAGGCGGGGUGAGACUAGAAGGUGGGAGAAUGCCCCAUCAGAGCAAAGUGCUUCCUACACCCGAGCUGGUUGAACCUUGGAAGGACAAUAUUCCUAAGUUUUUAUUUAUUUACGAACAGUCAGAAAAACUUCUAUUUCCUUUUAUAUCAAAAUACUUACUUUUAUUUUGUUUUGUUAAAAAGGAAAAAUAAGUAGUAGAGAUAACAGACUAAGGCUGGCUGAUUGGCCUGGAAAUUCCCUUUUAGUGCCUAAAUCCUGUGCAGGCUGCUGUGGCACCCCCGCAGCCUCAGCCUGCGUUGGCUCGGCAGUUGUGCCGUGCCCCCCCUCCACUCUGCCCACAUUACAGACAAGGGGUUGGUGAGCACCCAUAGUGAGGCCCUCAGAAAAAUACAAAAAGCACACUGUUAUUUUUUCACCCAGAUCAGCAUACCGGAGACAUUAACUUCGUUACAAGACCACUAGGUGGCAAUUUAGCAGCCCUGUUGUAAAUGUUUAAUAUAUUCAAUUUCUUUAUUGCAUUAGACACAAACUUGAUGAAUUGCAAACUGAACAAAGUUCUGGAAAAUCUG